GGAAAUGUCAAGGAGUGAGGAACAAGUGUGGAUUUGUCUGGUUCACUGGCUUUGAGACAGCACCUGGCAACGUAGUGCGGAGACAGACGCGAGCCUUCAAAAAAAUUUGGCUCUGGCCCACGGCCAAACCUCUUGGAUUUGGACCAGAAUGGCCACUUUUGUGGAGGCAGAUAUAUCUGUGGAGGGAAGGAAAGUAGCGCGUAUCCUGGUCAUGCUGUUUUCCCAGAGAAAACAAUUAUGCGAGAUAUCUACAGCUUUGUGUUAUUGCCUUAAUUCUGGAGAUGAGAAAGGAUAACAAAGAAGGAAUGUCACUUUUUCCCGAUGAUACAGCCAUUGUCAGACCCAUGAGGGGGUCUCUGAAAUGCCUUGCUCUUAGUCUUGUUCUCAUUCCUCUGGGUUACAAAGACGUGACAGAUACAGUACAUGUUCUGUUCUUACUCUGCAUAGCAAAAUCAGACAAUUAGGAAGACUCUUUGAACAUGAAAACUGAAGACUGAAUA